GGCGGGAGAGUCUGGAUAGGGCCAGGAUCAGAGUUUCUCCAAGGGGGGGAGAGCGUCACGGCCCCCUCUGGCGGUGGCGUUGGCAGCGGCCGAGGAAGAUGCCUGAAACCUCCACGGGCUCCCAAUGAACCUCCCAAAUCGAAGCCCCUACAACAUGCUCUCAACAUUUCCAGAACAUCUACUGAGGGUACCCAGGUUUUUUCCCUGUCACCUCCUCCCCUCGCCCUAUUCCAAGCCCCACCAUGAAGAGCUGUAAAUGAGAUUGAUAGCCACGCACAUCAGACUUCACAGACUUUUUUAAGGAUAGGCACAAGAAGACUCGUUGAAGUGCCAUGCAAACUCCAAAGCACAGGAAAACCGAAUGGAAUUAUCAUCUUGCCCCCAUGGGGCUCCACACCCCUCCACCCCGACAGACUUGCUGGAUUACAGAUUGGGAGAUGGAGGCAGGCUAUAGACAUACAAUUGAGCACACCAACCUGUAGUAGGAGUGGGAGUUAAUAAGGAAGAGAAGGAGGCACUAAACACCUAAAAGCAGCCCCCAAAUUGAGCUACGUUGAAGUCAUUCUCCAUCUCAACCUCCACUCCGAAAUCCAACGCUGACAGUGGAUCCUUACCUUGCAAAGCCAGCUCUUGGCCCAGGAGACUGGCUGGGGAGGCCCUAGGGAGCUGAACUCAGCUGGACUGGACUUCUUUGACCUGCACUAGAGGGACCCUGGAGACUCUUCUUCACUGAAGGAAGGAGCAGAAAGCCUGAACAGCAGGAGGCUGAACUACAGGAAUCUCUGGUCACUCAUUGACAGGGCUGGCCUUAGCAGGGGACCCCCCACGGCUGGAGACUGAAGCUGACUGGGGCCAAGCAGCAGACAAGGAGGGGGAGGGGAGAGGCCGCCCUUUGCUGCCACCUGCUAUAGCUAAUGGAGGUGGAACACUCAAGAUCCAGAAUAUGCUGUGGGUACCAGGAAGUCCUAGGAUUUGAGGAGCGAGACUCUAGUUUUUCCUUUCUUCAUACUGUUUGAAGUCAUGAAAGUAAUUCUGAUGAACCUUCAUGAGGCAGAUCACAACAGUAAUAUUCAGGCUAUUUGGGUAUGUAAAAAAAGGAAGAAGGAAAAAACCCAAACUGUUGUAUCCCAUGUGCCAAGACCCAGCACUGAGGGGAGGGGUCCAGAUUGCAGUACCUCAGAGGCUUUUCACUUCAUUCUGUUUCACGGCCCCCAGCUCCUCUUUACUGUACUGGGCAGGAGGAAUUUCAGGGAAUAAUCAAGCCUGCCAUGGAGGCAGUGGAUGCUGAGGUAGAGGGUCGAAACAGCACCCAACUUCUCUCACUGACCUCCCAACACAGGGACCAGCUGACCCUAUGAUAAAGGCGCUGUGCAAUGUGUCCUCUCCCCUGCUGUGUCAGGCCUCUAUGUUCCCACAGUUAGAGCACUCAGGGGACUAAAGACCUACCGCCCCCACUCUCCAUCCCCGCCCUGCUCCACAUCUGGAGCCCAUCAAAAAACUCAGCGCUCUCUCACAGUUACGCAAGAGGUCGAGCAGCUGGGAGCUCAGGAAAGGGGGAGGAAGAGAGGGAAAGAAAGCAGAAAACAGCUUUCCAGGCCUGCUUCAGACUUUCCGAAGUGGAAGCAGGGGGAGAGGGCAAAGCCUGGGUGUGGAAGGAAGAGUGGAUUUUUCUAAGGCCCUUUGCAUUGGCUACAAGUGUCAGGAGUGAAUUUCCAUACUCCUGCUUUUGCCUUGGCACAUUCCCCACUUUGUCCCACCUCUCAAAUUGUACUCCCUCUAGCCCCAGAGAGGUGAUUAUUGCUCAUACAGCAAGCAAUCCUUGUAGAUACACACCCUCUUCCAGAAAGCUGUCCGUUUCUGGCCUCUGGAUCCUGAAGUCAGGCAUCAUUGGUGUAGGCGUGGUGGUAGCAAUGACCCUGCAGCAACUUGGGGAAAAGUUCAAAGCUCUCUUUUCAGCUGUCUUAGAAAUUGCAUAGUCUGCUUCUACCCAAAGCUAACAUGCAUCCAAGCUAAGUGGGAAAUUUGGGUAGGACAGAAGACUGGUCUUGUGUACCUCCAAGGCUAAGGGCUUUCC
rnacentral:lncRNA from 1 species